rnacentral:rRNA from 1 species
CUCAAUGCAAUAUUAAAUAGCCGCAAUACAUUGUGCUAAGGUAGCAUAAUCAUUUGUCUUAUAAUUAAAGACCGGAACGAAAGAUUAAAUAUUUAUACUUUUUUCUUUAAUGUUCAUAUUAAACUUAUUUUAAAUAUAAAAAAAUAUUUAUUAAUAUUAAAGACGACAAGACCCUAUUGAAUUUCACUAAAGUUUAACUGGGGUAGUUAAUUAAUUACAAUUUUAAUUUUAAUUUAUAAAAAAUCUAAUACAAUUAAAUUAUAUCAAAUUACCAUAGGGAUAACAGCGUAAUAAUUUUCUUAAGAUCUUAUUUAAAAAAUUGUUUGCGACCUCGAUGUUGAAUUAAUUAUCUAUUAAAUGCAAUAACUUAAUAAGAAAGUC